GAUGAACGCUGGCGGCGUGCCUAAUACAUGCAAGUCGAGCGAACAGACGAGGAGCUUGCUCCUUUGACGUUAGCGGCGGACGGGUGAGUAACACGUGGAUAACCUACCUAUAAGACUGGGAUAACUUCGGGAAACCGGAGCUAAUACCGGAUAACAUGUUGAACCGCAUGGUUCAACAGUGAAAGACGGUCUUGCUGUCACUUAUAGAUGGAUCCGCGCCGCAUUAGCUAGUUGGUAAGGUAACGGCUUACCAAGGCAACGAUGCGUAGCCGACCUGAGAGGGUGAUCGGCCACACUGGAACUGAGACACGGUCCAGACUCCUACGGGAGGCAGCAGUAGGGAAUCUGCCGCAAUGGGCGAAAGCCUGACGGAGCAACGCCGCGUGAGUGAAGAAGGUCUUCGGAUCGUAAAACUCUGUUAUUAGGGAAGAACAAAUGUGUAAGUAACUAUGCACGUCUUGACGGUACCUAAUCAGAAAGCCACGGCUAACUACGUG
rnacentral:rRNA from 1 species